GUCCCUGCAGCGCGAUGGAUAACGCGUUGAACUACGCCUCCAAAGGCCGUGGGUUCGAAUUCCAACUGGGAUG